rnacentral:tRNA from 1 species
GCGGACAUGGCGGAAUUGGCAGACGCGCUGGAUUUAGGUUCCAGUGGUUCACAGCCGUGGGGGUUCAAGUCCCUUUGUCCGCACCA